rnacentral:rRNA from 1 species
GUUUGAUCCUGGGCUCAGGAUGAACGCUAGCUACAGGCUUAACACAUGCAAGUCGAGGGGAAACGAUAUUGGAAGCUUGCUUCCGAUAGGCGUCGACCGGCGCACGGGUGAGUAACGCGUAUCCAACCUGCCCAUCACUUGGGAAUAACCUUGCGAAAGUAAGACUAAUGCCCAAUGACAUUUAUAGAAGGCAUCUGAAAUGAAUUAAAGAUUUAUCGGUGAUGGAUGGGGAUGCGUCUGAUUAGCUUGUUGGCGGGGUAACGGCCCACCAAGGCGACGAUCAGUAGGGGUUCUGAGAGGAAGGUCCCCCACAUUGGAACUGAGACACGGUCCAAACUCCUACGGGAGGCAGCAGUGAGGAAUAUUGGUCAAUGGGCGAGAGCCUGAACCAGCCAAGUAGCGUGCAGGAAGACGGCCCUAUGGGUUGUAAACUGCUUUUAUAGGGGAAUAAAGUGAGCCACGUGUGGUUUUUUGCAUGUACCCUAUGAAUAAGGACCGGCUAAUUCCGUG